rnacentral:rRNA from 1 species
UACGGAGGGUGCAAGCGUUAUCCGGAUUCACUGGGUUUAAAGGGUGCGUAGGAGGGUGAGUAAGUCAGUGGUGAAAUCUUCGAGCUUAACUCGGAAACUGCCGUUGAUACUACUUGUCUUGAAUACCGUGGAGGUGAGCGGAAUAUGUCGUGUAGCGGUGAAAUGCUUAGAUAUGACAUAGAACACCAAUUGCGAAGGCAGCUCACUACACGAAUAUUGACUCUGAGGCACGAAAGCGUGGGGAUCAAACAGG